UAGAUGCAACAUGGAGUUUAUCAUAUGAACUUAAUUUACAAUACAUAAUUUACAAUUUUUUUUAGUGACCAAUUGCAUGAGUUUCCACUAGUAAAUGUGUAUAUAUAUAUAUAUAUAUAUCUACACACACAUAUGUGUGUAUUUUUUAUAUCAACAAAUGUAAUACGUUCAUGGACGCCACAUUGUGCACCUGCCGCCACUGACAGACAUGGAGCCCUAAUUUUAUGCACAAACCGGUACUGCAGUGUCGCCUACAUGACGACGACGAUUGAGCGUGCACAGAAGCACCUCGUGGGCGGAGCAGCACCAUCUCGAUGAUCGCACGACGACGACGACGACUUCCACUUGAUCACUGUGCUUGCCUCCGUCGCUGGCAUCUCCACGCGCCUCCACUUGUCCCGGAAUGACCACACCCUCUGCGAAAUUCCAGAAAUGGUUCAACACAAGCUCCAGAAAAACGAGUUUGCAUCCUGGCCAACUAUCCAACAAACCCCCCUUGUUCACGCUUCUGUCUCUGACAUUAGUUUGUUUCCAUAGACUCGAAGUAAGACAUUGUGCAGAAUUGAAAAACCAUAACCAUGAGGCACUCGUGUUGGGACGUUUGUUUGCCUGGGUAAACACACUUGGUAUGCUCAUAAUCUUCUACUGUUGUCUAAUGGCGAAAUAGAUUGCCCAGGGAGACGAUAUCGGCAUUUCUUGCAAAGCUUUGUGACAACUGCACACGUUGUGCAUGCUGUGUCGUGGAGCCCGUCUAUGAAUUUUGAGGAUCUUGGUUGUCAGCACACCCCGCGGCGGGGCUAAUUAUUAUUGGUCUGGGCUUUAAAAGCUCGUGUGACUCACUUUACGAUAUAUUUGCCACCUCGACAUUCGUUUUGGAUCAGUUCGGGAGCAAUGCGUGGCAGAUUCCGACGAAGGCGUCAUUGACCUUUUCCUCAACUACUCGCGCGGUGUGUUGCGUGUGGAUGGACUCGGGGCGAAUGCGUCAGGCCGAGCGGUGUCGCGAGGAUGGUGUCAUGGGAAGCAUCUCGAGUUGGAAUAUGCGAAAAGAUUGAUGUGGUCAGAGGUUUUCGUGGGUGGAGUUGGCGGGUUGGCUAGGCUCGCCACAUCAGCCGCGACAACACGGAUGCGUGUUCUGAUUCUAGCAAAUGGCAGCAA
rnacentral:lncRNA from 1 species